UCCUUUCAACGGAAAUGUUUUUUUAAAAGGAAAAAAGCAGUACCAGACGGUUAAACUCAUGAGAUGCCUAUAUAAAAGAAUGCUAUUCAUUGUUUUUUAAAGCAUUAAUUCUUGUUCAUUUCCCUGACCGCUCGCAGAAACAUUUUGCAUUUGUUGUUUUUCAUAUUUGCGGAAGAACUGCACAAGGAUUUGUAUGAGAAGUACGAAAUGAGGAAUAAGUGAUAGCAGAGGCCUAUUUCUUCUGCCCGACAAAUUUGUGCAAAUGUGGGCGGUGGAAUUUAUGCAUUUUCCAGCACCUGUUUGGCAUGGAGGGUUUAUUUCUUUUACUAUGGGUUGGAGGAGUUAUGCUUUUCAACAAUGAGCUAUAAAUUUGAUUGCUAAGGUACGUCCAAGAAUUCAAACAGUUUUUUAUUAAUGUUCAGUGUGAAAUGAGCAUUGUGCAGCUUUCUUUUGGAUUUGAAGAAAUAAUACAAAAUGCUGUAAUUUUAAAGAUGUCAAUAACUUAUUUAAUUGGGAAUGGCUGUGUAGCGAUGAAAAUUUGAAAACAAAUUACUUGUAAAUAUUACUUAACAAUUAUAAUUAAUAAAAAGUGUUUAUUUUUAA